rnacentral:rRNA from 1 species
AACGACUCUCGGCAACGGAUAUCUCGGCUCUCGCAUCGAUGAAGAACGUAGCGAAAUGCGAUACCUGGUGUGAAUUGCAGAAUCCCGUGAACCAUCGAGUCUUUGAACGCAAGUUGCGCCCGAAGCCAUUAGGUGAGGGCACGUCUGCCUGGGCGUCACGC